AUUGAACGCUGGCGGAAUGCUUUACACAUGCAAGUCGAACGGCAGCACGGGGGCAGCCCUGGUGGCGAGUGGCGAACGGGUGAGUAAUACAUCGGAACGUGCCCGGUCGUGGGGGAUAACGUAGCGAAAGUUACGCUAAUACCGCAUACGAUCUGAGGAUGAAAGCGGGGGACCUUCGGGCCUCGCGCGAUCGGAGCGGCCGAUGUCAGAUUAGGUAGUUGGUGGGGUAAAGGCCUACCAAGCCGACGAUCUGUAGCUGGUCUGAGAGGGCGACCAGCCACCCGGGGCCGGAGACACGGCCCAGACCCCUACGGGAGGCAGCGGGGGGGAAUUUUGGACAAGGGGCGAAAGCCUUAUCCACCCAUUCCGGGUGCAGGACGAAGCCCUUCGGGUUGUAAACUUCUUUUGUAGGGAACAAAAAGGCUCUGCCUAAAACCUGGGGCCCAUGACGGGACCGAAAGAAGAAGCACCGGCUAACUACGU
rnacentral:rRNA from 1 species